rnacentral:rRNA from 1 species
CCUACGGGUGGCUGCAGUGGGGAAUAUUGGACAAUGGGGGCAACCCUGAUCCAGCCAUGCCGCGUGUGUGAAGAAGGCCCUCGGGUUGUAAAGCACUUUCAGUGAGGAAGAACGCCUGGUGGUUAAUACCCAUCAGGAAAGACAUCACUCACAGAAGAAGCACCGGCUAACUCCGUGCCAGCAGCCGCGGUAAUACGGAGGGUGCGAGCGUUAAUCGGAAUUACUGGGCGUAAAGCGCGCGUAGGUGGCUUGAUAAGCCGGUUGUGAAAGCCCCGGGCUCAACCUGGGAACGGCAUCCGGAACUGUCAAGCUAGAGUGCAGGAGAGGAAGGUAGAAUUCCCGGUGGAGAGGUGAAAUGCGUAGAGAUCGGGAGGAAUACCAGUAGCGAAGGCGGCCUUCUGGACUGACACUGACACUGAGGUGCGAAAGCGUGGGUAGCAAACAGGAUUAGAUACCCGAGUAGUC